AGCAGUGCUGGUAAGGAUAGUGAGGAAGACGAUGAAGAUGAUCAUUAUGACCAGUUGUUGGAGACGGAUGAUGAAGUUGAAGUUGUCAAAGAAGUUAAGGAACCACUGAUUGAUUUUGAGAUUGAAAAGGGUAAAGGGAAGGAA